UGCAGUCGAGCGCUCUCUUCGGAGGGAGCGGCGGACGGGUUAGUAACGCGUGGGAACGUACCCAGAUCUAAGGAAUAGCCACUGGAAACGGUGAGUAAUACCUUAUACGCCCUUCGGGGGAAAGAUUUAUCGGAUUUGGAUCGGCCCGCGUUAGAUUAGAUAGUUGGUGGGGUAACGGCCUACCAAGUCUACGAUCUAUAGCUGGUUUUAGAGGAUGAUCAGCAACACUGGGACUGAGACACGGCCCAGACUCCUACGGGAGGCAGCAGUGGGGAAUCUUGGACAAUGGGCGCAAGCCUGAUCCAGCCAUGCCGCGUGAGUGAUGAAGGCCUUAGGGUCGUAAAGCUCUUUCGCCUGUGAAGAUAAUGACGGUAGCAGGUAAAGAAACCCCGGCUAACUCCGUGCCAGCAGCCGCGGUAAUACGGAGGGGGUUAGCGUUGUUCGGAAUUACUGGGCGUAAAGCGCACGUAGGCGGACUGGAAAGUAUGGGGUGAAAUCCCAGGGCUCAACCCUGGAACUGCCUCAUAAACUAUCAGUCUAGAGUUCGAGAGAGGUGAGUGGAAUUCCGAGUGUAGAGGUGAAAUUCGUAGAUAUUCGGAGGAACACCAGUGGCGAAGGCGGCUCACUGGCUCGAUACUGACGCUGAGGUGCGAAAGUGUGGGGAGCAAACAGGAUUAGAUACCCUGGUAGUCCACACCGUAAACGAUGAAUGCCAGUCGUCGGGUAGCAUGCUAUUCGGUGACACACCUAA
rnacentral:rRNA from 1 species